CAGUAGCCACGGUAAAACGAAGGGGGCUAGCGUUGUCCGGAAUUAUUGGGCGUAAAGGGCUCGCAGGCGGUUUCUUAAGUCUGAUGUGAAAGCCCCCGGCUCAACCGGGGAGGGUCAUUGGAAACUGGGAAACUUGAGUGCAGAAGAGGAGAGUGGAAUUCCACGUGUAGCGGUGAAAUGCGUAGAGAUCUGGAGGAACACCAGUGGCGAAGGCGACUCUCUGGUCUGUAACUGACGCUGAGGAGCGAAAGCGUGGGGAGCGAACAGGAUUAGAUACCCGAGUAGUCCCUGUCUCUUAUAC
rnacentral:rRNA from 1 species